rnacentral:rRNA from 1 species
CAGUCGCCACGGGAAUACAGAGGGUGCGAGCGUUAAUCGGAUUUACUGGGCGUAAAGCGUGCGUAGGCGGCUUCUUAAGUCGGAUGUGAAAUCCCUGAGCUUAACUUAGGAAUUGCAUUCGAUACUGGGAAGCUAGAGUAUGGGAGAGGAUGGUAGAAUUCCAGGUGUAGCGGUGAAAUGCGUAGAGAUCUGGAGGAAUACCGAUGGCGAAGGCAGCCAUCUGGCCUAAUACUGACGCUGAGGUACGAAAGCAUGGGGAGCAAACAGGAUUAGAUACACCCGUAGUCCCUGUCUCUUAUAC